rnacentral:rRNA from 1 species
AUUGAACGCUGUCGGCAGGCCUAACACAUGCAAGUCGAACGAGUGGCGGACGGGUGAGUAAUGUCUGGGAAAAUGCCCGAUGGAGGGGGAUAACUACUGGAAACGGUAGCUAAUACCGCAUACCAUCGGAUGUGCCCAGAUGGGAUUAGCUAGUAGGUGGGGUAACGGCUCACCGAGGCGACGAUCCCUAGCUGGUCAGAGAGGAUGACCAGCCAGACUGGAACUGAGACACGGUCCAGACUCCUACGGGAGGCAGCAGUGGGGAAUAUUGUAAAAUGGGCGCAAGCCUGACGCAGCCAUGCCGCUUGUAUGAAGAAGGCAUUCGGGUUGUAAAGUACUUUCAGCGAUGAGGCGUUACGCGCAGAAGAAGCACCGGCUAACUCCGUGACAGCAGCCGCGGUAAUUC